rnacentral:rRNA from 1 species
AUUGAACGCUGGCGGCAGGCCUAACACAUGCAAGUCGAGCGGAUGACGGGAGCUUGCUCCUUGAUUCAGCGGCGGACGGGUGAGUAAUGCCUAGGAAUCUGCCUGGUAGUGGGGGACAACGUUUCGAAAGGAACGCUAAUACCGCAUACGUCCUACGGGAGAAAGCAGGGGACGCUCGGGCCUUGCGCUAUCAGAUGAGGCUAGUUAGGAUUAGCUAGUAGGUGAGGUAAUGGCUCACCUAGGCGACGAUCCGUAACUGGUCUGAGAGGAUGAUCAGUCACACUGGAACUGAGACACGGUCCAGACUCCUACGGGAGGCAGCAGUGGGGAAUAUUGGACAAUGGGCGAAAGCCUGAUCCGGCCAUGCCGCGUGUGUGAAGAAGGUCUUCGGAUUGUAAAGCACUUUAAGUCGGGAGGAAGGGCAGUAAGUUAAUACCUUGCUGUUUUGACGUUACCGACAGAAUAAGCACCGGCUAACUCUGUGCCAGCAGCCGCCGUAA